CCCGCUGAGUUUAAGCAUAUCAAUAAGCGGAGAAAAGAA
rnacentral:rRNA from 1 species